rnacentral:rRNA from 1 species
CCUACGGGAGGCAGCAGUGAGGAAUAUUGGUCAAUGGACGGAAGUCUGAACCAGCCAUGCCGCGUGCAGGAAGACGGCUCUAUGAGUUGUAAACUGUUUUUGUACAAGGGUAAACCUGAAUACUUGUAUUCAGCUGAAAGUACUGUACGUAUAAGGAUCGGCUAACUCCGUGCCAGCAGCCGCGGUAAUACGGAGGAUCCAAGCGUUAUCCGGAUUUAUUGGGUUUAAAGGGUGCGUAGGCGGAUUGAUAAGUUAGAGGUGAAAUGUCCGAGCUUAACUCGGGAACUGCCUCUAAUACUGUUGAACUAGAGAGUAGAUGCGGUAGGCGGAAUGUAUGGUGUAGCGGUGAAAUGCUUAGAGAUCAUACAGAACACCGAUUGCGAAGGCAACUUACCAAUCUAUAUCUGACGUUGAGGCACGAAAGCGUGGGGAGCAAACAGGAUUAGAUACCCCGGUAGUC